AUCGCGAAAACGUUCGGAUUCGGCCCCCUCUUCCUCUUUCGAGGCUUCUCCUCUCAAAAUCGCGAAAGGCUUGGCUGCGAGAGCUUAGGGAUUGUUGUUUGUGUUCGUUCUCUUAUCUCUACUUCUAUAUGAUUCAAUACAGUCUCUUUGUUCUCGGCGAGUCGGCGUUGGCUCGACUGCUGGGUAUUCUUGCUUGGUCGCUUGAUAGCAAACAGGGGUUGGCUCGACUGCUCGGUACUAUCCUGCUACCGACAGCCGCUUACCUGAUUCAGCCACCACAGAACUACCUGGUUUCAUUUCUGCAUUGAUUUCCUUUUGAUUGGAGCAAAGUUCUUCCCCUUUCUUCCUGUUGGUUUCAGCAGCAAUAGGAUAUUUGGUUUGGUCAGAUCCGUCUAUUCUUUCGUAAUGAUCAAUACUGCAAUCGAUAACUUCUACCUCACUGAUGAAGAUCUGAAAAAUUCUCCUUCGAGGAAAGAUGACAUUCAAGAGGACACGGAGAUAAUGUUACGCAUCUACGGGUGCGAUCUCAUUCAGGAGAGCGGCAUUCUUCUCAGAUUACCUCAAGCAGUCAUGGCCACAGGGCAGGUCCUUUUCCACCGGUUCUACUGCAAAAAGUCUUUUGCGCGCUUCAGUGUGAAGAGGGUAGCAGCUAGCUGUGUUUGGUUGGCUUCGAAGCUCGAAGAGAGCCCUAGAAAAGCAAAGUAUAUUCUUAUGGUCUUUCACCGGAUGGAGUGUAGAAGAGAGGGUUUACCGAUAGAGCAUCUUGAUGUCAUGUCCAAGAAAUACUCAGACUUGAAGAACGAUUUAAUUAGAACGGAGAGACAUUUGCUGAAGGAGAUGGGUUUUAUCUGCCAUGUAGAACAUCCUCACAAGUUCAUAUCCAAUUACCUAGCAACACUUGGAGCUCCUCUUGAACUUAGGCAGGAAGCUUGGAACCUUGCAAAUGAUAGUUUGAGAACAACUUUGUGCGUUCGCUUUAAGAGUGAAGUCGUAGCUUGCGGGGUAGUAUACGCUGCAGCACGUAGGUUCCAGGUUCCUCUCCCGGAAAAUCCACCUUGGUGGCUUGUAUUCGAUGCCGAUCAAUCUGGAAUUCAGGAAGUUUGUAGAGUGCUCGCUCAUCUCUACAGUCUCCCCAAGGCAAAAUAUGUCCCAGUCUAUAAAGAUAUCGAUUCUUUUACAUCAAUUAGCCGAGUGCCAAACUCACAAUCUCAUGUUUCCAAGGAAAACUCUGUCAACGGUAAUGCUAAUGACUCUAGCCCUCCUAAGUCAGUAAAUAGUCAGGAUGGUAGCUGCUUUAAAGAUUCAAUAAUAAAAGCAGCUCUAGAUAAGUUGAAAGAAUCCAAGAAGAGCGAUGAGGAUGGUAAAACAGUGCCUGAUACUAAAGAGGAGGAGACUGAAAGUUUAAGGAGUGAGCUUAAAUCGGAUCGUAAUGGGGAGAAGAAUCGUGAAAGAGAUCGAGAAAGGUUGAGAGCGAGAGAACGGGAUCGUGACAGCAGGGGUAGGGACUCAGAUCGUGAGAGUAGGGGCAGGGACUCGGACCGGGAGAAGGAGAGGAGUCAUCGCUCUAAAGACAAAAGCUCAGGGAAUUCAGAUAAACCAAGGCAUCAUUCGUCCCGCGAUAGAAGUGAGUACCACAGUUCGCACUCCUCCAGAGACAAGGAUCGUCACAGGCAUCAUAGUACAUACUCCUGAAGUUGAAGUUAUGCUCCACUUGAAGGCUUCUGUAUUAUUAGAAUUUGGCAGCUAUAAAGAAGUUCAACGGUCUCCCCGCAACACUCUUCAACUCUUUAGGAAAACCUCUUGUCCAAAGGAAGAUAGACUACCCAUCAGAAUGGUGAUGCACCAUCUGCCUGUUGGAAUAAAUCUUCAUUAAGGAUAAGAAGGUCUCCACAAUGGGUUCACUCAGGAAAGCUGUUCAAAGAGCUCUCGACCAACCGAGGGAAUUUCAGCCUACCGAAUGACGAUCAACUGACUAGGUUGUACAGUUACAAAUACAAAGCGGUGCCAACAAUAAUUAUGAAUACGAAGCGAUGCCAACAAUGGUGAUCAAUACCAAAAGAUCCAAAAAUCAGUUACAAGUAGGUAAACGUGUAAUGGUUAAUAAAUCAUAUGUAACAUUCCUAUUUAAUCAAAGACAAGUGUUUUAAAUUAAGUUUAAUGAAUAUAAAAUCAUCUUGAUAACCCUAAACUUUCCC